rnacentral:lncRNA from 10 species
AUUUAGUGCGCCCUGGCACCAUCUUGCUUGCAUUCUGGGUAGAGUCAUGGGGUUUGGGGCGGUGUCCUCAGUGCGCAGAGCGGCUUAAAUCAGAGGCUGAGCCCGGCGCUUCCAUAUCACGCUGUACUCUAGCUAAGGACUGGGAAGCAAGUCUAUCCAAGGCUCCUUCAUGUAACCACGCGGCAGUUGGCAGGCACUAGUCCUAGACAACUGAGUUCUCCCUGAAGAAGAGUUAAAGCAAAAUAAAAACUCACAAAAAGGAAAACAACACGAAUAAAAAGAACUAGCAUGGGACCUAAAGGACGUUGCUGAACAAGGAAAAGAGCCCAUCAGGGAGACAAGGAUGAAAAACUG